rnacentral:rRNA from 1 species
CAAGCCUGAUCCAGCAAUGCCGCGUGAGUGAAGAAGGCCGUUAGGGUUGUAAGCUCUUCGCCCGCGACGAUGAUGACGGUAGCGGGAGAAGAAGCCCCGGCUAAUUCCGUGCCAGGCAGGCCGCGGUAAUACGGAAGGGGCGAGCGUUGUUCGGAAUCACUGGGCGUAAAGCGCGCGUAGGCGGCCUUGCAAGUGCGGCGUGAAAGUCCUGGGCUCAACCUGGGGACGGCGCUGCGGACUGCACGGCUAGAGUCCGGAAGAGGGUGGUGGAAUUCCGAGUGUAGAGGUGAAAUUCGUAGAUAUUCGGAGGAACACCGGUGGCGAAGGCGGCCACCUGGUCCGGCACUGACGCUCAAGCGCGAAAGCGUGGGGAGCAAACAGGAUUAGAUACCCUGGUAGUCCACGCCGUAAACGAUGGGUGCUAGAUGUCGGGGGGCUUGCCCUUCGGUGUCGGAGCUAACGCGUUAAGCACCCCGCCUGGGGAGUACGGCCGCAAGGUUA